UGGAUAUCUGAUGACUGUUGGUGCUGUAUGAGUAGUGGAUGCUGACUGCAGGUCUGGGAGUCUGAAAAGUAU